UACGAAGGGGGCUAGCGUUGUUCGGAAUCACUGGGCUUAAAGGGCGCGUAGGCGGGUCGGCAAGUCCGGGGUGAAAGCCCCCAGCUCAACUGGGGAAGUGCCUUGGAAACUGCCGGUCUUGAGGGAGGUAGGGGCCUGUGGAACUUCGGGUGGAGCGGUGAAAUGCGUUGAUAUCCGAAGGAACGCCGGUGGCGAAAGCGACGGGCUGGAUCUCUUCUGACGCUGAGGCGCGAAAGCCAGGGUAGCGAACGGG
rnacentral:rRNA from 1 species